AGUGAACGCUGGCGGUAGGCCUAACACAUGCAAGUCGAACGGCAGCACAGUAAGAGCUUGCUCUUACGGGUGGCGAGUGGCGGACGGGUGAGGAAUACAUCGGAAUCUACUUUUUCGUGGGGGAUAACGUAGGGAAACUUACGCUAAUACCGCAUACGACCUACGGGUGAAAGCAUGGGAUCUUCGGACCUUGCGCGAUUGAAUGAGCCGAUGUCGGAUUAGCUAGUUGGCGGGGUAAAGGCCCACCAAGGCGACGAUCCGUAGCUGGUCUGAGAGGAUGUUCAGCCACACUGGAACUGAGACACGGUCCAGACUCCUACGGGAGGCAGCAGUGGGGAAUAUUGGACAAUGGGCGCAAGCCUGAUCCAGCCAUACCGCGUGGGUGAAGAAGGCCUUCGGGUUGUAAAGCCCUUUUGUUGGGAAAGAAAAGCAGCAGGUUAAUACCCCGCUGUUCUGACGGUACCCAAAGAAUAAGCACCGGCUAACUUCGU
rnacentral:rRNA from 1 species